AUUAUUUGCUUAUAUCAUAAUAGACAGAACAAAAUUAUAGAUCUAAAUAAUUGAGAGCACUGAUUGUGAAUAUGAACAAGACCAGAUGCACUGAAUUUUGCAUGCUGCACCCUUGAGGACCACACCACCCAUGGAAGGGCUGCUGCAGCACUUCCUUGUGAAAACAGAUGGUGCCAAUUGUUCCUGUAAGACAAAAGACUAAAAGAAGAUGUCUGUCUGAGUUAGAUUACAUUCCAGAGAUCUGACCCUGCCACAGGGCUGGCAGAAUGACCGUGAUCCAAAAUCACAUUGUGCUUCAGUAACAGGAUUCUCCAAGAGAUACCUUUUGAAAUGGAGCCUUGUGUUGGACCAGAUGGUGGCCCUGGAUUUCCAUUGUUCCUCUUGGCUCUCUAGUGUUAUGCAGAUUUCUAUACUGCUUUAUAUUUUCUCACAGCAUUGCCUAGUAUUUACAUUCAGUUAACUCUGAUGGAGAAAAUGAAAAAGCCAAGCAUAAAGAAGCUACAGAACACUUGUUUGUGGCUGAAGUGUGUGUGUGCACAUUAAGGGUGAUACUAAAGGUGUGCUAAACA